UCUACAGACCUGAAAAGGAAGAUCGACACCCACCAUUGAAGAGGAAGAUCGAACUCAGCUCCUCGACACCCACCAUCCCCGGCUUCCUUUGAACUCGCACUCGCACCCCUCCCUCUUCGCUCGACUCCCUUCAAACCCAUCUUUCAGGUAAUUUCAGUGUUUUUUAAUGCUGUGUUGCGUCUCCUCUUCUCUCUCUGUGUUUGUUUUUGGCUGUUGGAUCGCCGCCAUUGAAGAUCACCCACCCUUCGCGCACGCACCCCUCCCGCUUCGCUUGGCUCCCUUCAAACCCAUUGUUCUUCAAUUCAGCAGAGUUAUGAAGACAGAGUCUCCUCAGGGAAAACAUUUUUUCGUAUUUUCUGGCGUUGGGUUCGAAGAAAAAUAAAAGUUGACAGAGAAAAUCGCACCCUCUUUGCAGUCCCAUUUUCCUCCACCGUUGUUGUUUGUUGAGUUGAGGUCUGGAGUGAAGGACAGACCCAUUGCCAUUCUGAGAAGGGAGGGGGAGAGAGAGAGAGAGAGAGAGUUUGAGACAAAGUUGGGAGAGACCCAGAACAAGUUACACAUAUUGGGAAAGUGUUUUACGAGCUUUGAGAAGGUUGAAAGGAACUUCAAAUAACAAAAAAGAAAAGAUGCCUGCAGAAACAAAACAACUCUUUGACCAGCUGACUGAAGAUGACAUGAAGUUGAUGGAGAACGGUGAUUACAAUGUAUAUGAUGAAAAGCAGGAAGUGUUUCAGCAUGAGGCAGGUUAGUAUAUUGGGCUCUUCUCCAACUUUUUUUUGCUUUUCUCUUAUCCCCAUACCCCAAUUCGCUUCUUUCCUCCCUCAGGUAAAUUCCCCUCUGUGUGUGUGUAUAUAUCUAUGCAUGCAUUUUCUUUUGCAUCCGUGUUGUUAGAAUGAAGAUAAACGUUGCCCGUUCUGAAAAAUCUAGGUGGUUAUUUAUGGGACUCAACAUUUUUGAAUUCUCCAUUGCAUGUGAGGCAUGUGUGCAUUUAGAAUUGAAUCCAACUAAAGGCAUGUGUGCUUUUUCAUUGGAUUCAUUUGAAUCCAAC